CCAUACACAUUUUAGAAUUGUUUGUUUUAGUUCUAUGAAAAAUGCCAUUGGUAUUGAAAUCAAAACUUAAAAAAAGAGUGCCUUCUCUAAUAAAAAGUAAACGAAUAAAGGUCAGUCUUAGACAAACAAUGAAACACCGUUUAGGCCAAACAAAAUUGAUCGGAGGCUGAGUUUAAGUUGGGAGCUGCCACAUGCUGGGGCUUAAUGGCAUGUGGAACAGACACCCAGGGUUCCAGCACCGUGUGCUGUGUGGGAGAAUGAGAGCCACGCCGGCCAAGCAGAACCACACCUGGGGCACUUGCACAGUCUGCCGGACACCACGGAAGCACAGGCAGGCAGUCGACCUUGUGGGCCCAGCCCUCUGUUGAGGGAGAAGUGACACUGUGGCGGGCCACUCGGACUCCACUGUGCUCUGCACUUGGAAGCAAAUGCCUUUGGACUGGCUGAAUUCCUGAGUGCCUGGAUCAUGCAGGGAAACCUCAAGAAGGAGAUGGCAGGCUUCCUUUUUUAUAAUGCUGGAACUACCCGAGUUGUUGGAGAUUCUGUUUUGGACAAGAUAGAAAAGCGAGCCCCUGGUCCUCAUGGAGCCCACAUCCUUACAGAAUAUCAAAAUUAGAGUCAGUCUGUGACCAUGAUGGAUCAAGGCAAGAUCGAGCCCACCCACAACGAUGUCUGAGUAAAAAACAUGAACAUCGUCCACACCACAAGAAAAGUCACGUCCUGGCUGAGAGGAAGAGUUAUGAUGGCAGAGAAGUGGGGGGACCAGGAUUUCCCUCAACCCACAACACGGCAGUAUUGAGGUCAGAACACCUGGAACACCCACACAGUCAGUCUGCAGAGUGACAGAAAAAUGUCCACAGGUGGAGGGAGACAGCUUGGAGGGACUGAGCCUCUCUUCCAGACGUGUGCAGCCACUGGUCCCAGGCACCAACAGAUGACUGUCCACAGGUUUAGUAUUACCACACAACAGAUUACUGUUCUUCAGUAGUAAGAUCUGAAGUCAGGAAGCUGACUUCCUCAGAUCUUCCUCGUCUCAUCUACAUAGCUGAAGAAGGAAUGGUUGUGUGAAUAUCAAUAUGGUAUUGAUAAAUGCCUGAAAAGCCUCUGACAAUGUGUUUUCCAACCAGAAGGUUUGAACUUGAAACUCUCUCACAAAAAGGAAAGGAAGAAAGCGAUACAGAUACCUGAAGUAAAGAACCAGAAAGAAUGAUCCUGCAAAACUGACAUCUAUUUUAUAUUAUCAACUAACUUUUCUUUCUCCUUUGGCUGAAGUUUAGACUCUUUGCUAAUUGUGUCGGUUGGCUUUAUUGUAAAACAAAUCACUUUCUUUUUCAUCGUGACUAACAGGGAGUCAUGAUUUAAUAUGUGUUAAUUACAGGGAUACAAGUAUUAUUCAGCCUAUUCCUUUUUAUAACAAAAGUGUCGAGUGAAACUGGUAGGCAGCUUCUGAUGUGCUUUCCAAUGAACUCCACCUCCUGGUAUUCACACUUUUGUGUAAUCCCUUUGAGUGCGAGCUGGACCUAAUGACUUGCUUCUAAUAAACAGAACAUGGAUAAAUGGAUGGACUAUCACUUCUGGGUUUGGAUUGCUAGCAUUCUCUUUCUUGAACUCUCUCUUGCUACUGCCAUAUUGUGAGCUGCUCUGUGGAGACACCUACGUGGCAAGGAACUGAAGGAAAUGUCCAGCUCAUGAGACUCGAUGCCUGAGUCCAACAACCUGCUGAGAUCUGAAUCCUGAAACCACAAGAAAAGGGCACCAUCAUCGGUUCACAGCUCAAGGAAGUGUGACAGAAUGAACACACCUGUGUCUCCAUCACCUGCUCGGGAAGCUUCUUGUCCCUCUUCACAGGUGCCAGCACUCCACAAAGGCGACAUUUGCAAGUAUGGUGGAAAAGCGACGCAUAUCACAAAAAACUGAAUACAGAAGCAGAUAUAAGAAAUGAAAGGUCUUCUAACAAGCUAGAAGUUUGAGAGAAAUGAAAACGUUCAAUAAUGCUGCUCCUCUCACUGAAGCGGAAGCUGGAAAGCGGAUAAUAAUAGAUGAGGAACCACAGUUUCCAGGUCUUUGUGCAACAGGAUGUGGCCAUUUAACUAAUUCUCACCAAUGUAAUUAGCAGAAGUGAUGUGUACUGUUUUGGGACCAAGGCUUUUGUGAAACAGGUAAUUUUCACAACCACUCUAUAACAUUGGCAUUAUCAUCACCAUUUAACAAGUGAAGACACUGAUAUGUUGAGAGUAUCACACUAAAUGAAAGGAUAACAGAUGCGUGACUAUGUAUAUCCUCUCUUUGUCCAUGGAAGAAAUUCUUAAUUGGUCAAGACACACAAAACUUGAUCUUGGAUCUUUUUCAACAUGUGUUUCAGGUGAUUAUUCACAUUUAACCUGAGUUAAUACUUGAGGUGAAAACUAAGGUACUAUUAAGUGCUAAUAGUGGAUAGAAAAAAAGUUAUCAAUUUGGACUAACUUUGGGAUAGAUCAGACUGACUUAAAGAAAUGAAAUGUAUGGCAAUAAGAUAUCUAAUUACAAGUGGAAGCCAACUCUGAACUAGGUAUAGCAGAUGCCGUUGACAAUCUGCCAAUGUCUCUUUGGCUACCUGAGUUUUCUUGCAGUUGUGGAAAACUCCCACCCCGUGAUAGUUUCCCACCUUAGGUACACCUGCAUUCUCCCCUUUCUCUGCCUGAGGGUUUCCUCCAGUGUUACUAGAGCUUACUCACUUGAAAGCUAAACCAGAAAGCUUGAGGGAGCUAACCUUCUGGGAGGCAACCUUCAGUCAAUGGUGACGGGAGUGGUAGACAAAUGCCCCAGACUCCCUUUUCUUUGGUGGGAGGGUCCUGAUGUUUGUCUCACAAGAUUUCUCAGAAGGUCUCCAGCAAGACUAAGCCCCUCUUGCUUUUUAUUGGCACUUCUCUCUUCCCUGUCUCAUGUUCCUAACUUCCUAACAUGUCUUCCUGGGUUUACCUUCCAAACAAUCUGUCCACCUCUAAUCUUUAUUUUAGGGUCUGCGUUUAGAGGAUCCAAAAUUAAGAUUCCAGGCUAAAUAUUAUAGGGACCAUUUUGUAAGUGAAUAAUUUUUAUAAUCAAUAUCACUUUUUAAUGUAUAUAGGGUAGUCAUUGAUAUUAUUCACUUACUCUCCUUGUGAGAAGAUUGUACAACCCUACUCUGUUGAAUUUAGGAGUGGCCAUAGGACAUGCUUUGGCUAAUGAAUUGUGGGUGGAAGUGGCACCACUUCCUAACAAAGGUUUAUGAGCUAGCUCAUGGUUUUCCAUAUCUCUUUUCCCUCUGCCAUAAGGCAGUCAAAAUUCCAGAUGAAGCUACUCUAUCAGCACUGAGCCCAGGUAUGAAGAUGACAGAUAUGAGCAGAGUUUCCACUGAACUAUAAUGAACAUAUGCAAUGAAUAAGAAAUAGACUUUGUUCUUGUAAAUCACAGAGAUUUUGGAGUAGUUUAUUGCCUUAGCAUAGCUUAGGUUAAAUUGGCUAAUAAAGAAUUUUUUUUAAAUAAUGCAGUCCAGUGGUUCUCAAUCUUGGUUAAUCAUAAGAUUUACUAGUACAUCUUUUCAUUUAUAGAUUUAAACUUAUUAUAAUUCAGUAGGCUUGGGUCAGAAAGUUAAGGGUACUUUGUAUUUUAAAAUCUCUCCAGAUGGUUCUAAUGAUCUCACUGUUUGAAACACAACCAUUUUGCUUAGUUUAUUUAUUUUUUCAUUUUGCUUAUUUUAAGGGAGGAGACUGACAGCUUGAAAAGUUGUCUAUUCUUUUAAAUAAUUUAUUAAAAAUACUAUGUGAUACAGGUUGGAGUUUGAGUUAUUUAUAAAAUCUUUUCUUCUAAAGAGCAAAAGAGCAAACUUAAUUGUAUACCUGAAUAGAGGCAAAAUCUGAAUUAGUAUUAUCCAAAUUAAUAAAGUUUAAUUGUAUGUCACAUAUAGGCCAUCUGGGUUCAAACCUAAUCAAAAAUUAUAAAUGCAGCAUGUUACUAAAGCCAUUAGUAGGCCAGAAAGGCUAAGAGUAGUAGGGUUUUAAUAACUGAAAGUAAAUUUGUUGCAUAGAUAUGCACAUAAAAAUAAAAUCUUUGUCCUUGCUAUUAACAGAUUAUGGGUCCACAAGGAGAAUUUGCCUUGGAGACUGACAGAUCAAGUUAAAGGUGUUUCAAAAGCAUCUGAUGACAUUUUCUAGCAUCACACCUUGCAACUAUGUACCAUUCACUUGUCUGGGUCACUGUAUAUUUUUAAGCUGUAGAAAUUACUUAUAUAAUUUUACUUUUUAAAAACAUUUAUUUAUUUAUUUUGAGAGAGAGCAUGUGUGUGCACAAACAAGGCAGGGGCUAAAAGAAUGGAAGAGAGAAUC